GGCGAUUGAAGCUGAAUGGAUAAGCGUUAACUUGUGGCGUUAAAAGAAUUGAGUUCGAUCCUCAUUAAUCGCC
rnacentral:tRNA from 1 species